rnacentral:rRNA from 1 species
CCUACGGGUGGCAGCAGUGGGGAAUAUUGGGCAAUGGGCGCAAGCCUGACCCAGCAACGCCGCGUGAAGGAAGAAGGCUUUCGGGUUGUAAACUUCUUUUCUCAGGGACGAAGAAAGUGACGGUACCUGAGGAAUAAGCCACGGCUAACUACGUGCCAGCAGCCGCGGUAAUACGUAGGUGGCAAGCGUUAUGCGGAUGUAAUGGGUGUAAAGGGCGUGUAGGCGGGACUGCAAGUCAGAUGUGAAAACCACGGGCUCAACCUGUGGCCUGCAUUUGAAACUGUAGUUCUUGAGUACUGGAGAGGCAGACGGAAUGCCUGGUGUAGCGGUGAAAUGCGUAGAUAUUAGGAGGAACACCAGUGGCGAAGGCAGUCUGCUGGACAGCAACUGACGCUGAGGCGCGAAAGCGUGGGGAGCAAACAGGAUUAGAUACCCCUGUAGUC